rnacentral:rRNA from 1 species
AGGGCACCACCAGGAGUGGAGCCUGCGGCUUAAUUUGACUCAACACGGGGAAACUCACCCGGCCAGGACACAAUAAGGAUUGACAGAUUGAUAGCUCUUUCUUGAUUUUGUGGGUGGUGGUGCAUGGCCGUUCUUAGUUGGUGGAGCGAUUUGUCUGGUUAAUUCCGAUAACGAACGAGACUCUAGCCUAUUAAAUAGACGAUAUAUUAUUAGUUUAUCGAGCUUCUUAGAGGGACAGGCAGCUUCUAGCUGCACGAGAUUGAGCAAUAACAGGUCUGUGAUGCCCUUAGAUGUCCGGGGCUGCACGCGCGCUACAAUGAUAAUAGCAGCGUGCAUUAAAACCUUUUCUGGUAAGGAUUGGUAAACACGAAAUAUUGUCGUGCUUGGGAUAGGGGAUUGAAAUUAUUGCCCUUAAACGAGGAAUUCCCAGUAAGUGCGAGUCAUUAGCUUGCGUUGAUUACGUCCCUGCCCUUUGUACACACCGCCCGUCGCUACUACCGAUUGGAAGAUUUAGUGAAU